AACGCACAUUGCGCCCUCUGGUAUUCCGGGGGGCAUGCCUGUUCGAGCGUCAUUACACCACUCAAGCCUGGCUUGGUAUUGGGCCCCGGGGGUGACCCGGACCCGAAUGUUCGCCGGCUGGACGACCUAGAUCUCAGCGUUGUGGCAAACAAAUUCGCUGGCGAGACGGGACGGCCACGCCGUUAAAACCAUCAUUCAAGGUUGACCUCGGAUCAGGUAGGGAUACCCGCUGAACUUAA
rnacentral:misc_RNA from 1 species